rnacentral:pre_miRNA from 1 species
ACAAUACUCCCUCCGUCCGGAAAUACUUGUCCUAGAAAUGGAUAAAAUGGAUGUAUCUAUAACUAAAAUAAGUCUAGAUACAACCAUUCCUAAGACAAGUAUUUCCGGACGGAGGGAGUAGUAU